CGGCGAGUGAAGAGGGAAGAGCCCAAGAUUGAAAGCUGGACGUCUUCGGCGUCCGCAUUGUAAUCUCAAGAAGUGUUUUCCGCUUCGGACCAUGCCUAAGUCCCUUGGAAAAGGGCAUCAUAGAGGGUGAUAAUCCCGUACAUGGCAUGGAGCGCCCGAAGCUUUGUGAUACGCUUUCUACGAGUCGAGUUGUUUGGGAAUGCAGCUCAAAAUGGGUGGUAAAUGCCAUCUAAGGCUAAAUAUUGGGGAGAGACCGAUAGCGAACAAGUACAGUGAUGGAAAGAUGAAAAGAACUUUGAAAAGAGAGUUAAACAGUACGUGAAAUUGCCAAAAGGGAAGGGUAGGAGGUCAGAGAUGCGUCUUGGGAUUCAGCCUUGCUUUUGCAUGGUGUUUUUCCCAAGUUGCAGGCCAACGUCGGUUUUGGGCACUGGAGAAGGGUAGGAGGAACGUGGCACCUCUCGGGGUGUGUUAUAGCCUCCUACUGGAUACAGCGACCGAGACCGAGGAACGCAGCGUACUCGUAAGAGCGGGCCUUUUGGCACCUUUACGCUUAGGGCGUUGGCAUAAUGGCCCUCUACCACCCGUCUUGA
rnacentral:rRNA from 1 species